rnacentral:lncRNA from 1 species
AAAUUAUAAAGAAAUGUAUUUUAUUAUAAUUGAAUGUAGCUCAGUAUAUCAAUGAGCUAAAUUACACAGCUUUAAAUAAGUAGAAAAACAACCAUAGUAGCAAAUAAACAUGAGAAAAUAACUGAACUAACUUAGGCAAUCAAACUCAUCACUCGCAGAAUUAUAACCACUUAGACACAUUCAAAGUAAAAUAUAUUUACAAAAAUACACCUUAUCACUCCAAUGCUCUAGCACACGGCAAUCACCUUAUUACUCCAGAGGGAUGAACACAUCCUUAUAACUCCUUAAGCUAUUACCUAUAAGCUAUAGAGAAAUAAUCAAAUAUAGCACCCUUAUUACCAAUAUGAAUAAGAAGCAUUAUAUUCAAUACUACAGUGUUCAACUCUGUAGUCUUUUUUUUGGUACAAUUGGUUUUCAUCGGUGUUUAAAUUUGAAACUACAGUACCAAUGAACUAAAUCCAAU